rnacentral:lncRNA from 1 species
AGUCCCCAACCCCGCGGUCACAUUUGCUCAAGGAGCUAUCCCUGGAGUGGACACCAGGGGGCACUGAGCUCGGCCAGUCUCAGCUCGCGAUCGGGUUUCACGCCCACGUUCUUAGGAGGACGCCGCGCGGUGACGUCAUAUCCGCGCCUACCCGUCACGCUUCCGGGAGGGGAGGCCCCCCUCCCCUCCCAAAAAAAAACCCAGACAGGAGCCGAACGUAAACAUCCCCGGAGUUUCUUGGGUCUGCGGCCUGGCGUCUGCGGAGGAGCUCCAAGCUUUGGCGGAUUGUUGCAGCGAGUAGAAGUCAGGCGGCGCCAGGUUAGUCCGACCGACAAGCGGGGACGCCGAAGCCCAUGGCGGGGCGGCUUUUGGUCGGGCGUGAGCUCAGUCGGCCACGCCGGUGAGGUGCGUCCGUGCGCGCCAGGGGCGCAUGCGCAAGGUGAGCCUGACGGCGGGCGGCGGGCGGCGGGCGGCGGGCGGCCAGCGGAGGCACCUGUCCGCCGCCCAGGAGGCCGCGCGGGUCGCUGGCGGGGUCGUGUCCGCGGGCACCUGCCCCACGGGGUCUCGGCAGCAGGAGGGGCUGCGACGGGUGUGCAGAGCGCAUGCGCCCGGCGCCAGGAGGCAUCAUAGCAGAGUGAUUUUGAGGGGGCUUAGGAGUGGCUAGAAUCUGUGUGCUCUUGGGCAAGUAUUCCUUUGCCAUGCCUCACUGCCUUCAAAAAGGAGGCGGGGAGUGGGAAUAUAGCCUUUACUUCAUGGGAUCGUUUUGAAGACUUAAGACCCUUUAAGGUAUGUGAAGUGUUUAUUAGCAAAGAGCCGGGUACUUAGGAAAAAUGUUCAUUGGGAUUGUGUUAUUAGAAUUUAAGAGUACAACAGUCGGCAUAUAUAAAAUUUAGAAACUUUCAUUGUGUCUGUAUGGGUAAAUUUGAUUUGACCAGGGGGAUCCCUGGGUGGCUUAGCAGUUGAGCAUCUGCCUUUGACUCAGGGAGUGAUCUCAGGGUCUGGGAUCAAGUCCCACAUCAGGCUCCUGCAGAGAGCCUGCUUCUCCCUCUGCCUAUGUCUCUGCCUCUCUCUCUCUCUCUGUCUCUCAUGAAUGGAUAAAUAAAAUCUUUUAAAAAAAACUGAUUUGACCA